GACGAACGCUGGCGGCGUGCCUAAUACAUGCAAGUGGAACGCACUUAUAUCACCGGAGCUUGCUCCACCGAGAUAAGUGAGUCGCGAACGGGUGAGUAACGCGUAGGUAACCUGCCUCAUAGCGGGGGAUAACUAUUGGAAACGAUAGCUAAUACCGCAUAACAGUAUUUACCGCAUGGUAGAUGCUUGAAAGGAGCAAUUGCUUCACUAUGAGAUGGACCUGCGUUGUAUUAGCUAGUUGGU
rnacentral:rRNA from 1 species